AAUGCAAGGCAUACGGCUCAGUAACACGUAGUCAACUUACCCUAUGGACGAGGAUAAUCUCGGGAAACUGAGCAUAAUACUCGAUAGAUCAUAAUGCCUGGAAUGGUUUAUGGUUGAAACGAUUCGUCGCCAUAGGAUAGGACCGCGGCCUAUCAGCUUGUUGGUGAGGUAAUGGCCCACCAAGGCGAUUACAGGUACGGGCUCUGAGAGGAGAAGCCCGGAGAUGGGUACUGAGACAAGGACCCAGGCCCUAUGGGGCGCAGCAGGCGAGAAAACUUUGCAAUGUGCGAAAGCACGACAAGGUUAAUCCGAGUGAUUUCUGCUAAAGAAAUCUUUUGCAAGUCAUAAAACCACUAGUGAAUAAGGGGUGGGCAAGUUCUGGUGUCAGCCGCCGCGGUAAAACCAGCACCUCAAGUGGUCAGGAGGAUUAUUGGGCCUAAAGCAUCCGUAGCCGGCUCUGUAAGUUUUCGGUUAAAUCCAUGUGCUCAACGCAUGGGCUGUCGAAAAUACUGCAUAGCUAGGGAGUGGGAGAGGUAGACGGUACUCGGUAGGAAGGGGUAAAAUCCUUUGAUCUAUCGAUGACCACCUGUGGCGAAGGCGGUCUACCAGAACACGUUCGACGGUGAGGGAUGAAAGCUGGGGGAGCAAACCGGAUUAGAUACCCGGGUAGUCCCAGCUGUAAACGAUGCAGACUCGAUGAUGCAUUGGCAUAUAGCCAGUGCAGUGUCGCAGGGAAGCCGUUAAGUCUGCCGCCUGGGAAGUACGUACGCAAGUAUGAAACUUAAAGGAAUUGGCGGGGGAGCACCACAAGGGGUGAAGCCUGCGGUUCAAUUGGAGUCAACGCCGGAA
rnacentral:rRNA from 1 species